UGAGAAUAAAGCAGAAAUAUUUUCGUUUGCUUUAUUUUUGCAGAACUAAACUCUCGGAGCUGAAGAACUGGAGCGUGGCAGGCAAACUAAACAGCAGUGCGUACUUUUGGCCGGCUGAAAACAAAUGCGUCGCACCGAGGGCAGCUGGAGCGGAAGUGCAAGUUAUUAGAGGCGCGGCCAGCGGGAAAGACGAGUCUAUUAACAGAACAAACAGCCUAAAAA